rnacentral:rRNA from 1 species
UACGUAGGGUGCGAGCGUUAAUCGGAUUUACUGGGCGUAAAGGGCGGGUAGGCGGCCACCGCAAGUCAGUUGUGAAAUCUCUGGGCUUAAACCCAGAAAGGUCAACUGAUACUGCGGGGCUAGAGUGCAGAAGGGCAACUGGAAUUCUCGGUGUAGCGGUGAAAUGCGUAGAUAUCGAGAGGAACACCUGCGGCGAAGGCGGGUUGCUGGGCUGACACUGACGCUGAACUGCGAAAGCUAGGGAGCGAACGGG